AGAUUGAACGCUGGCGGCAUGCCUUACACAUGCAAGUCGAACGGUAGAGUAGCAAUACUCGAGAGUGGCGAACGGGUGAGUAAUAUAUCGGAACGUGCCCAGUCGUGGGGGAUAACGUAGAGAAAUUUACGCUAAUACCGCAUACGAUCUACGGAUGAAAGCGGGGGAUUCGCAAGAACCUCGCGCGAUUGGAGCGGCUGAUAUCAGAUUAGGUUGUUGGUGAGGUAAAAGCUCACCAAGCCGACGAUCUGUAGCUGGUUUGAGAGAACGACCAGCCACACUGGGACUGAGACACGGCCCAGACUCCUACGGGAGGCAGCAGUGGGGAAUUUUGGACAAUGGGCGAAAGCCUGAUCCAGCAAUGCCGCGUGCAGGAAGAAGGCCUCGGUUGUAAACGUGCUUUUGUACGGAACGAAACGGUACCUUUACUAACUAAAGAAGGCUAAUAGACGGUAACCGUAACGAAAUAAGACACCGGACUAACUAACGUGCCAGCACGCCGCGGUAA
rnacentral:rRNA from 1 species